UACGUAGGGGGCAAGCGUUGUCCGGAAUCAUUGGGCGUAAAGAGCGUGUAGGCGGCCUGAUAAGUCGGCUGUGAAAGUCAAGGGCUCAACCCUUGAAUGCCGGCCGAUACUGUCAGGCUAGAAUCCGGAAGAGGCGAGUGGAAUUCCUGGUGUAGCGGUGAAAUGCGCAGAUAUCAGGAGGAACACCUAUGGCGAAGGCAGCUCGCUGGGACGGUAUUGACGCUGAGACGCGAAAGCGUGGGGAGCGAACAGG
rnacentral:rRNA from 2 species